rnacentral:lncRNA from 1 species
AUAUAUAUAUAUAUAUAUAUAUAUAAAAUUAUAUACAUAUAUAAUUAUAUUAAUUUUUAUUUAUUAUAAUUUAUUAUUAACUAUAAGUUACAAAAUAGAUAAUAAUUUCACUUCGGAGGUAACUAUACCAGGGGUGGAGAUAUACACUUUUUAUGUCAUCUACUUUCUACCAAACAAACAACAGAACUCACAGAACUGCACUUCUACAGUUAGAAACAAACAGCAGAAGUGAACUAAUUUUUACCCCAACUCCACUUCAACUCCAAGUCGACUUCCACCCCAAGUCUACUUACGUCGAAACAAACAUGCCCUUAGUACUAUAGAUAGUAUAGUAACUGGACUCUCUCUCUCUAUGUAUAUAAUUUAAUACAAAAAAAC